UACGUAGGGUGCGAGCGUUAAUCGGAAUUACUGGGCGUAAAGCGUGCGCAGGCGGUUAUACAAGACAGAUGUGAAAUCCCCCGGGCUCAACCUGGGAAUUGCAUUUGUGACUGUAUGGCUAGAGUGUGUCAGAGGGGGGUAGAAUUCCACGUGUAGCAGUGAAAUGCGUAGAUAUGUGGAGGAAUACCGAUGGCGAAGGCAGCCCCCUGGAUAACACUGACGCUCAUGCACGAAAGCGUGGGGAGCAAACAGG
rnacentral:rRNA from 1 species